UACGUAGGGUGCGAGCGUUAAUCGGAAUUACUGGGCGUAAAGGGUGCGCAGGCGGUCCUGCAAGUCAGGCGUGAAAUCCCCGGGCUUAACCUGGGAAUGGCACUUGAAACUACGGGACUGGAGUAUGGCAGAGGGAGGUGGAAUUCCACGUGUAGCGGUGAAAUGCGUAGAGAUGUGGAGGAACACCGAUGGCGAAGGCAGCUCGCUGGGACGGUACUGACGCUGAGACGCGAAAGCGUGGGGAGCAAACAGG
rnacentral:rRNA from 1 species